UGUUAAAUUGAUAUUGCGUACUUUUAUGAAUCCCGUACAUCAGUAAUAUAAGUCUCGAAAGUUAUCUAAAGUCUCACGAGUAGACGAAAAAGACAGGUGGAGGGGUUGGAAGGGGGCUGUGGUGGUGGCGAUGGAAAUCGCAUUCGCUCGUGUACGUGUUACGAGUGAUGAUAACGAUUUAAAAAACAAUAUUCGAAACAAGACCGUGAAUCGAAUCCGU